UUUAGGGGGGGGCUUUAUAGAGUUUUGAUCUGGCUCAGAUUUUAUGCUGGCGGCAUGCUUUACACUUGCUAGUCGAACGGUAACAGGCCGCAAGGUGCUGACGAGUGGCGAACGGGUGAGUAAUGCAUCGGAACGUGCCCAGUCGUGGGGGAUAACGCAGCGAAAGCUGUGCUAAUACCGCAUACGAUCUAUGGAUGAAAGCGGGGGACCGUAAGACCUCGCGCGAUUGGAGCGGCCGAUGUCAGAUUAGGUAGUUGGUGGGGUAAAGGCUCACCAAGCCAACGAUCUGUAGCUGGUCUGAGAGGACGACCAGCCACACUGGGAGUGAGACACGGCCCAGACUCCUACGGGAGGCAGCAGUGGGGAAUUUUGGACAAUGGGCGCAAGCCUGAUCCAGCAAUGCCGCGUGCAGGAAGAAGGCCUUCGGGUUGUAAACUGCUUUUGUACGGAAGGAAACGGUCCGGGUUAAUACCCUGGGAUAAUGACGGUACCGUAAGAAUAAGCACCGGCUACCUACGCAGCGUACC
rnacentral:rRNA from 1 species